GAGUGAGAAAGCAGCUCCUCGCUUGUCUUUUGUUUGACUCUCUUUGUGCGCUUGUUUUUUUUUUGUUCGUUUGUUCGUUUUUUUUCGUCUCUCUCAUUUUCAUCGCUAUGGGAAAGAAAG
rnacentral:ribozyme from 13 species